rnacentral:rRNA from 1 species
AUUGAACGCUAGCGGGAUGCCUUACACAUGCAAGUCGAACGGAGUGGCGAACGGGUGAGUAAUGUAUCGGAACGUGCCCAGUAGCGGGGGAUAACUACGCGAAAGCGUAGCUAAUCCCGCAUACUAUUGGAGCGGCCGAUAGCGGAUUCGCUAGUUGGGGGGGUAACGGCUCACCAAGGCGCCGAGCCGGAGCUGGUUUGAGAGGACGACCAGCCACGCUGGGACGGAGACACGCCCCAGACUCAUACGGGAGGCAGCAGUGGGGAAUUUUGGACAAUGGAGGAAACCCUGAUCCAGCCAGCCCGCGUGGGCGAUGAAGGCCUUCGGGUUGUAAAGCACUUUUGGCAGGAAAGCGGUACCUGCAGAAUAAGCACCGGCUAACUACGUGCCAGCAGCCGCGGUAAUAC